rnacentral:rRNA from 1 species
GACGAACGCUGGCGGCGUGCCUAAUACAUGCAAGUCGAACGCAGUGGGGACGGGUGAGUAACACGUGGGUAACCUCCCAUCAGAGGGGAUAACACUUGGAAACAGGUGCUAAACCGAUACUGAUGGAUGGACCCGCGGUGCAUUAGCUAGUUGGUGAGGUAACGGCUCACCAAGGCCACGAUGCAUAGCCGACCUGAGAGGGGGACCAGCCACACUGGAACUGAGACACGGCCCAGACUCCUACGGGAGGCAGCAGUGGGGAAUCUUGGGCAAUGGACGAAAGUCUGACCGAGCAACGCCGCGUGAGUGAAGAAGGUUUUCGGGUCGUAAAACUCUGUUGGUAGGGAAGCGGUACCUGACCAGGAAGCCACGGCUAACUACGUGCCAGCAGCCGCGGUAAUUC